UACGUAGGGUGCAAGCGUUAAUCGGAAUUACUGGGCGUAAAGCGUGCGCAGGCGGCUAUGCAAGACAGAUGUGAAAUCCCCGGGCUCAACCUGGGAACUGCAUUUGUGACUGCAUAGCUAGAGUACGGUAGAGGGGGAUGGAAUUCCGCGUGUAGCAGUGAAAUGCGUAGAUAUGCGGAGGAACACCGAUGGCGAAGGCAAUCCCCUGGACCUGUACUGACGCUCCAUGCACGAAAGGCGUGGGGAGCAAACAGG
rnacentral:rRNA from 1 species